GAAGUACUCCCUCCGUCCCAAAAUAAGUGUCUUAAUUUUGUACUAACUUUAGUACAAAGUUAAGACACUUAUUUUGGGACGGAAGGAGUACAUU
rfam:Triticum aestivum genome assembly, contig: Triticum_aestivum_CS42_TGACv1_scaffold_222649_3B